UACAGAGGUCUCAAGCGUUGUUCGGAUUCAUUGGGCGUAAAGGGUGCGUAGGCGGCGCGGUAAGUCGGGUGUGAAAUCUCGGGGCUUAACUCCGAAACUGCCUUUGAUACUGGCGAUCUCGAGUCCGGGAGAGGUGAGUGGAACUGCGAGUGUAGAGGUGAAAUUCGUAGAUAUUCGCAAGAACACCAGUGGCGAAGGCGGCUCACUGGCCCGGUACUGACGCUGAGGUGCGAAAGCGUGGGGAGCAAACAGG
rnacentral:rRNA from 1 species